rnacentral:rRNA from 1 species
GAUCCUGGCUCAGGACGAACGCUGGCGGCGUGCUUAACACAUGCAAGUCGAACGAGAAUCUGUGGAAAGAGGAUUCGUCCAAUUGAAACAGAGGACAGUGGCGGACGGGUGAGUAACGCAUGAGGAACCUGCCUUUCAGAGGGGGACAACAGUUGGAAACGACUGCUAAUACCGCAUGACACAUUGAGGUCGCAUGGCCUUAAUGUCAAAGAUUUAUCGCUGAAAGAUGG